rnacentral:rRNA from 1 species
CGUAAAGCACUGUCGCGAGGGAAGAUACGCUACCGACUAAUACUCGGGAGCUAAGACGGUACCUCGAGAGGAAGCACCGGCUAACUCUGUGC